UGAUCUUCCGAUCUUCGCCAUGUCCAUCAGGGUUACCCAGAAGUCCUACAAGGUGUCUACCUCCGCCCCACGGGCCUUCAGCAGCCGCUCAUACAGCAGUGGGCCCGGUGCCCGCAUCAGCUCCUCGAGCUUCUCUCGGGUGGGCAGCGGCAGCUUCCCGAGUGGCCUGAGCACCGGCCUGGGUCUGGGUGGAGGCUACACCAGGGCUGGAGGUAUGGGGGGCAUCAUAGCCGUCACAGUGAACCAGAGCCUGCUGAGCGCGCUCAACCUGGAGGUGGACCCCAACGUUCAGGCCGUGCGCACCCAGGAGAAGGAGGAGAUCAAGACCCUCAACAACAAGUUUGCCUCCUUCAUCGACAAGGUGCGCUUCCUGGAGCAGCAGAACAAGAGGCUGGAGACCAAGUGGAACCUCCUGCAGUAGCAGCAGCAGACGGCUCGCAGCAACAUGGACAGCGUGUUUGAAAGCUACAUCAACAACCUUCGGCUACAGCUGGACACACUGGGCCAGGAGAAGCUGAAGCUGGAGGCAGAGCUUGGCAACAUGCAGGGGCUGGUGGAGGACUUCAAGAAUAAGUAUGAGGAGGAGACCAACAAGCGUACGGAGAUGGAGAAUGAAUUUGUCCUCAUCAAGAAGGAUGUGGAUGAAGCCUACAUGAACAAGGUGGAGCUGGAGUCCCGCCUGGACGGGCUGACUGAUAAAAUCAACUUCCUCAGGCAGUUGUAUGAAGAGGAGAUCCGUGAGCUGCAGUCCCAGAUCUCAGACACGUCUGUGGUCCUGUCCAUGGACAACAGCCACUCCCUGGACAUGGACAGCAUCAUUGCUGAGGUCUGCGUCCAGUAUGAGGAGAUCGCCAACCACAGCUGGGCUGAGGCUGAGAGCAUGUACCAGACCAAGUACAAAGAGCUGCAGGUGCAGGCUGGGAAGCACUGGGACGACCUGUGGCACACAAAGACGGAGAUCGAAGCUCUCAAAGGCCAGAGGGCUGCCCUGGAGGCCUUCAUCGCAGAUGCUGAGCAGUGUGGGGAGCCAGCUCUUAAGGAUGCCAACACCAAGCUGGCCCAGCUGGAGGCUGCCCUGCGUCAGGAGCAGCUGCGUGAAUACCAGGGUCUGAUGAAUGUCAAGCUGGCCCUGGACGUGGAGAUCACCACCGACUACAAGCUGCUGAAGGGCGAAGAGAGCCGGCUGGAGUCGGGGAUGCAGAACAUGAGUAUCCACACGAAGACCACCAGUGGCUACUCAGGUGGCCUGAGCUCGGCCUACAGGGGCCUCAUAAGCCCUGGCCUCAGCUAUGGUCUGAGCUCCUUCCAGACUGGCUUUGGCUCUGGUGGAGACUCCAGCUCCUUCAGCUGUACCAGCUCCAGGGCUGUGGUUGUGAAGAAGAUUGAGACCCGAGAUGGGAAGCUGGUGUCUGAGUCCUCUGAUGUCCUGCCCAAGUGAGCUGCCAUUGCAACCCCUC